UAGGGAAUCUUCCGCAAUGGGCGAAAGCUUGACGGAGCAAUGCCGCGUGAGUGAUGAAGGUCUUCGGAUCGUAAACCUCUGUUCUUAGGGAAGAACAAAUGUGUAAGUAACUAUGCACGUCUUGACGGUACCUAACCAGAAAGCCACGGCUAACUACGUGCCAGCAGCCGCGGUAAUACGUAGGUGGCAAGCGUUAUCCGGAAUUAUUGGGCGUAAAGCGCGCGUAGGCGGUUUUUUAAGCCUGAUGUGAAAGCCCACGGCUCAACCGUGGAGGGUCAUUGGAAACUGGAAGACUUGAGUGCAGAAGAGGAAAGUGGAAUUCCAUGUGUAGCGGUGAAAUGCGCAGAGAUAUGGAGGAACACCAGUGGCGAAGGCGACUUUCUGGUCUGUAACUGACGCUGAUGUGCGAAAGCGUGGGGAUCAAACAGG
rnacentral:rRNA from 1 species